rnacentral:rRNA from 1 species
CGGCGGACGGGUGAGUAAUGUCUGGGAAGCUGCCCGAUGGAGGGGGAUAACUACUGGAAACGGUAGCUAAUACCGCAUAACGUCGCAAGACCAAAGAGGGGGACCUUCGGGCCUCUUGCCAUCGGAUGUGCCCAGAUGGGAUUAGCUAGUAGGUGGGGUAACGGCUCACCUAGGCGACGAUCCCUAGCUGGUCUGAGAGGAUGACCAGCCACACUGGAACUGAGACACGGUCCAG